AUCAUAUUUGCCUGUUUUGUGUCACGGUCUGAAUAAAUUUAUAUUGUUAAAAGUACAGAAAUUAUUCGUUGUAACCACGUGGACACCGCAAGCAGGGCUGUCAAAGGCGGGAUUUUCUUCACACAAUCUAGAUUCUCUACUACUUUAAUUUUAAUAGUGGAAUUUCAUUCAUUAUUUGUUUUUUUAAAUAGUGGAAUUUCAUUCAUUAUUUGUUUUUAGGACUAAAAAUAAUGCUCGAAUAUCAGAAUAGGUGGCAGAAAUUUGAUGCUGAUAGGGUGGAGUAAACCCUUGACUUGCUUGUAUUUAUGAUGGUCCGUCUCGUUGCCGUUGUUUCAAUUUCAUUUUUUUUUCAUACAUUUCAAUGUAAUUCUUGCAAACGAAUUUUCUCCAGGUAUAUAUUUAUUUAAACACUUUUUAUUUAUGAGUUUACUCGUAGUGAAGGAGUCUCUAGUGUUCAACAAACUCUCCGAGUUUGACUUCAACUGCCGUUUGGAACGUGUUCUUCAUGUUCAAUUAUGACCGUGUAAAUAGUCAUUAAUAUGGCGUCUCGUUAUAAGAAUCGCCUUAUAUUUUAAAUAACUAGGUAUAUAAGUUUUGGAUGAAGAAAUUUUAACUUUGAAAAACUAUUGGCCGAGAAUUGAAGUUCAGCAAAAAAUGUUAUUGUAUGGAAAUAAUCUCCUAUAAUAAUGAUAUGAUCGUCAUUUUUGCCACAAAUCUUAACCUUGAUGCUAGUGUCAGGCUAGGCCAGCGAUGUAGAAUAAUGGAGUCUUUUUUUAAGUAUUACUGGUACUUGAGGUGCUCCUUGCAUCUCCUAUUUUAAUAUCCAUCUUAUUUAUCGGGCGUUUAAUUGUAGGUAGCAAUAACCAUCUUAUUUAUAGGGCGUUUAAGUGUAGGUAGCAAUAAAAGCUGAGAUCGUGGAUGCGUCAGGAAUUCACCCUGUGCUUCUGUAUUAUACUCAGGAAUAUUGCCUAAAUGAGAGCUCGUGUAAAUAAUGCAAAUUUCGUUGUGCUAGUGGCUUGUGUGUCGUCCACUCUCCUGAUUGUUGCGGUGGAAGAAUUAUUCUAUUUACUGGCUCGUGUAUCAGCCUAACUCCUGCCAGUUUAUGCUACUUACAUAAGCCUAUAUAAAAUUCAUUAAUCUAUAAUUCUUUUAAAACGUUUGAUAGCUUAUUUCAUUUGAAUAUAUUAUUUCGUUAAAUUAUUGUCCCCGUUGAAAAUUUUUGUUACUGUAAAGUCGUGUCGGCUUCGAUAUUGCCACAUUGGCCUGUCGCCGAUUCUUGACCACUCGGCCAACCUUCAAAUUUCGAUCAAGCUCAGUAUUAUAUCGAGCAUAGGCGAAAAAAAGUGUUUUGGUGUCCAUAUGAUUUCUAGACCAAUAAACUUUUUGCUGUUAGAUUCUUGAUCAAGAAUGUUAUAUUCUUCUGUUGAAUCUUCCUAGAACUUGAAAUCAUGGGAAUGUAGAUGUUUUUUAUUUAGGAAAGAUAUUGUUGAGAUUGCUGUUAUUUAAAGCUUUACAGUGGCAUCAGCAGCAUCAAACUAUUGUUUGUUGACAAUCAAACUUCUUUUAUUGCGUAAAUUGAUGUAAAAUCAUGUAGCAAUAAGUUACAAGAAUGAAUUUUCUGCAUAAAAACCUUCACUCUUCCUGUCAAGUACAUUCAUUCAAAAUUUCUUCGGCCGAGUAAGAUUUUACUGAAUAAAAAUCGGCAAAUAUUGAAGUUUGAAUUUUGAAGUACGUAUAAUAUACUGACGACAUUAAAAAAACAUGCUCAAAUGUAGAUUCUUGGUGAAUGAAGAAAUAGCAAAUGUACUUCGAAUAUUAUAUUAAGUUUCACUGAGCAAGUCUAUAGCAUUACAAACUGAAGAAACGAUCAAAGCUACAAGCUUGAAUAAUCGUCAGAUUGCCCGUAAGCGCUGUGCCACGUCGUUGCACUCUUCAUGAGCCGUAGAGUAAAAAAAAUGUUCUGAUUGCUGCAUGAGAAGUGGGCUACUUGUGUACAUUUUUGUCACUCAUCACUGCAUUAAUUUUCAACCAAAAGGUUUAAAAAGUCGUAAUAUUAAUGCAGGGAAUGCAUUAUGCAGUCAUCUUUUUCAAGUUUUUUAGUGUCGCUGAAGUUUAUUUACCUUUUGCCCCGCCAUAUUAAGUUUAAGUGAGUUGAAGACUCCUGUUCAGUCUUGACUGUUUUUUUUUUUUAGUGAAUAAUUUGUCACUUAGAUUUACGUUCAGCCAAAAUUUUGAUCCUAAACAAAGUUAUUCUUGACUGGCGACAAGCAAUAAUAGAGAACUGAACUCGCAUCCACUAGUCUCCCUGGAAAAUUUUCGGUUCUCGAGUGAAAUAAACUAGUAUCUAUUAUUAUCUUAGUAGUGAUUACGAUUACCAUUUGUACAAUACUCAUCGAAUGAAUUUCAAUUUUAUGACGAA
rnacentral:lncRNA from 1 species